ACAGCUUGUCCUUCUUCCUGUCUCCUUCAGAAUAAGGGCGCCCGCCACAGACUACUCGGGUGAAUCAAGCCGCUCCUCUUCCUCCCAACUCAACCCUUCGCCUGGAUCGUCUCGCUCUUCAGCACCGAGUGGAGGAGCAGCGGCAGCAGCAGGAGGUCACGCUGCCCGGGACAAACCACAGGUCAAAAAAAUCGCCCCCAUGAUGGCCAAAACUAUCAAAGCGUUCAAGAACAGAUUCUCCCGCCGAUAGUGUGAAAGAGACUGAAUGUAUUUCAUGAAUUCCAACUGUGUUUUUAAUUUAAGUUGAGUUAAAUUUUACUGGAAACCCUCCCCCCCUGCACACACAACCCUCCUCCACUUUGAUCUCCACCCACCAAACACACACAUGAACUUUACAGUAUUGGUGGAGCAACGGUUGGCUUCUUCUUCUUCUUCUUCUCCUUCUUCCUCCUCCUUUGUUUUGUUUUUUUGUGGUGACUUCAGUGUCGGGGUGCCGUUAAUUAAGUAUUUAAAUCCUAAAUGACGGUCAAAUGGUUUGUGUUUAGAAAAACACGUCAAGAAAGAAAAAGGAAAAAAAGACAACUUUUUACGGAACUCACAAACACACAGUCUGUUACCUUUUCUUGUUUAUCAGGAGAUGAUUUUAAACAAACUCUUGCACAUUUUUGGGGGGGAUUUACUUGUUGCUCGGAGAUAUCAGAGAAGAUCAGUGUCUCGCUGUUUCACCCGCGGCUGGCUAACGUAGCUUAGCUCAAAGACUGGAAACAGAACCUUUAAACAUGUUAUUUAUUCUGUACUCACAAGUAAAGCAACAAAAAAAAACAAACAGCAAUUUGUAGAUUUACAGGGUUAUAAGCUCUUUGGUGAAGCAGCCAACCAAGAUGUAGUCGUAUGCAAGGUUUUUAAUUUUCAAUUUCACUUUUUAACGUUGCCCUUCAGUCGGUAUUUUUAGAUGUUUUCCAAUUUUUAAACCUGCUUUUGUCUCCCCCUUCUGGCAGUCAGGGUAAUUACACAAAUACUGUCAAUUUGUGCUUUUUAAAAAGUAUGCUGAUUGAUUUGGUUUUUAGACCGUAUUCCUUCCUCUGAACUCUGAGUUUCUUUUUUAUCUGCAGCCUCAGAAACUUUUUUCUACGUAGGCUUCAUCGUACUCUGAGUUACCGCGUCUCUCCUUUUCAUUGCCAGUUGAUGCGUCGCUUUUAGUGCAAAAUACAGAGAGACAUACCUGGUGCUGAUUGGCUGAAGACAGUUUCAUACUUUCUAUGUCCACAAGUACACGAGAGCCCACUUGACAAUUUUGUCAUCUCCCCGAAUCUGCAAAAUUUGGUUUGGACGCCUACUGUGCAUGUAUGGAACUGAGUCCUUCAAGCAAACUAGAAAGUAGUAUGACAACAACUACAACAGAGUGUAGUCAAGGAUUCAGUUAGCGUAAUGUGAACUCAUUUACGCUGACUGUAACAGAUAUUGAUUUAUCCUGAACUCCAGUUUUAAGGAUGGACAUGGAAAAGCCAAGAACCUCAUGUCUACUCGUGAUUGUUUUGAAAAUGUGACACUGCAGAGGCUGGAAAUUGAGCUAAAACGUCCACCAAAUACACUCAAGUUUUGCUUUUCUUUCAUCUGUUUUAAAGAAUGAAGUAACAUCACUGCAACAGUGUCUCCUCUGAGUCUGUAAAGUGAUGAAAUUAAUCUAAACCUGCAUUCUUUCUGCCAGCCAGCAGGGGGCGACUUAUCUGACUGCAAACCAGUAUAGAUUGUAUAGAAGUCUAUGAGAAAAUUCCAACUUAAUUUAUAACCUCUGUAAACAUUUUCCAAAUGAGUUUAUGAUCUCAAUCGCUUGUUUAAAGUCCCCUUCAAUACAGCAUGAUGUUCAUUUUGGCAAAUUGUGGACUAAUUUAGAGUAAAAUAGACGAUAAAGCCCAGUACGGUUGAGGGUGAAGCUAGCUAGUGAUGGAUAAGUCACUGUCGAAUGGGUGUGCCUGGGUUCUUCCACCUCCCACUUACCACGUCCGGUUACAAAAAUCCAAAAUGGCAAUGGCUAAAUGUAAAAUGUGGGGUUUCACUAAGUAAUGUACAAACCAGUGGACAACCGUAUGCAUCUUUUGGACCUUCUGUAGAUGCAACACUGAUGCAUAACCUCAUGUAAAAUGCAAAUAUUAGUGAACUGUAGAGAUGUUCAUAGGCAGAUUUUGUCACCGUCUAACAGAAAACGAGUAGCUGUUCACCUCUGUUUCCAGUUUUUGUGCUAAGCUAAGCUAACCAGCCGCUAGCGCCCUAUUUAUCAAACAGAGACAAGAGAAGUUAGCGAUCUUCUCGUCUGAGUCUCUUCAAGAAAACAAAUGAGCAUUUUUCCCAAAGUGUCAAACAGUAAAUACUUUUAAUUUAAACAACAGUCAUUGGUUAUUUUCGUCUCCGACCAAAACGAAACACUACGUAGGAAAACUUGUUGUUCUGUCUCUUGCAUGAUGCUCGACACCCGAGACGUCAGCUGGCUGGUGGGAAACUCCGCUUUUUAAAGGAAACCAAUCAUGUUUUGCCUGGUGCAUUUCUCAGUGUGUAGGGCUGAAAUGAUAUCAAUGACUUAUUUUAACCCUGCUGUGGCUUCAGAUCAUGUUUUCCUGCUGUCGAAUGUGUGCGUCGCUGUUUCUAUCUGCUUCACUGUGACAGUUUGAACGAGAGCCGAGGAAGGAAGGUAAUGGGACGUCUGCAGCUUCAUGAUGAGGAUGAUGAUGAUGAUGAUGAUGAUGAUGAGAUGUAUUUAUUUUCAACACUGGGACCUGACACCCCACAACAUGGGCCCGAACGGAAGUAGAUUAAAAAUUGUAAUUUUAUUAGAUUUUAAUAAAUGUUAUAUGGUCAUUUUUAUUAAAAUUGACUUUUUGCCCUUAAACACUGUCAGUGUUGAAAUGUUUUUGUGAUCUGUUCAACAUAAAUCCAACCUGAGAACAUGA